rnacentral:rRNA from 1 species
AGAGGGGGCAAGCGUUGCUCGGAAUUACUGGGCGUAAAGGGCGCGUAGGCGGGAUGGCAAGUCGGUCGUGAAAUCCCUCGGCUCCACCGAGGAACGUCGAUCGAUACUGCUGUUCUUGAGGAUUGCAGAGGAGACUGGAAUUCCCGGUGUAGCGGUGAAAUGUGUAGAGAUCGGGAGGAACACCGGUGGCGAAGGCGGGUCUCUGGGCAAUUCCUGACGCUGAGGCGCGAAAGCGUGGGGAGCAAACGGGAUUAGAUACCCCGGUAGUCCACGCUGUAAACGAUGAGCACUAGGUGGUGGGGGGGGUUCAGUCCCUUCCGUGCCGCAGCUAACGCAUUAAGUGCUCCGCCUGGGGAGUACGGCUGCAAGGUUG